rnacentral:lncRNA from 1 species
UUUAUUUGCUAACAGCCGUUAACCACCGAAAAAGCCUCCCGCCGCUUCUCAAUAAAGCUAUAACCACCACUUUGCCGCCGUGGAAAAUUAACCUUCGGAAAUCCAAAAAUGGCAUCAUCCAGUGCGCUCUCGCAGCUCAACAAUUUGAAUUCACGAGUCGUUAUCUCUACUGUCCAUGAAAAUGCAUUUCGCAGAAGAAAUGCAAGAUUUCGAAUGGCAGCGUCAAGUAAUAGUGGAAGUGGAGAAGUGGCAGUGGCAUUCGAGGAGGGACAGUUGGAAAGACCUAAAUGGAUUGGUGAAACCCCAGUUUCUCGCUUUGUUGGAGCUCUCAUUUCCUUCAAACCUUUAUAUUCCGUACUCAAACUCGGUGCAAGACAAGUCCUCAUCAGGUCAAUUUAUACUGCAUUGGGCUAGCGUUUAUGUGUCAUGUGUGUGUGUGUGUGUGUCCCCCCCCCCCCGGAUUUUUAAGAUUAUGGGUUUGAAUUAUUUGGUGUUGAUUUCAUUUUGAUGAAAAAAAAAUGAAAUUUGGAUUUGGGUUGGAACAGUACAGCUGAGAAAACCAACAUUCCGUGGAGGGAAAUGACAAAGGAGGUUUUGGAAUCGGAUGUGUACCGGAAGCUGGAGACCAUUGAGGACGGCUCAAUUGUGUAUCCUGAUUGUAAUUUUUUAAAUUUUUAAAUUUUUCUUUAUUCGUGUUUUCACAGUUCUAUUGGAUUCAAGUAAAUAGAUUUCAUUCACAUGAUCAUAUUCAAGUUUAGUAAUGGAUAAUGCCAUAAUGGACUUCUCUAUCUUUUCAUGUAUUGAUAUCAGAAUUUUAUCUCCUGAAUGUGGUUAUAUUUCUUUUCUUUUCUAAACACAAACUUCUAAGUUUUCACUUGAGAUCUUCUUAUGUCUCUUGUGCGUUAAAAGCUAUGAGAUGAUUCAUUAUGUCUGUUGAGAUUUAGAUUUAAUGAUAUCGCAGUAUAUUUUUGUUGUUUCUUUGUGUGCCUUGUGUUAAAAUCAUAGAGAAUCUUGAUUGGGCAUUGGGAAAGAAAAUUGUUGACUCGCUUUAAUUUUACUGAAAAAUGCUUAUCAUAGUUUCACUUUAACAGUCCAUUUUAACUUACUAAAAUAAUCCCUGGUUAUAAAUUUUACCCCAACUACUAAACAGCGUGCAGCAUAUAGUUAUUCUAUCUGACAACUCAUAUUGAUGCUUAAGUAGUUAUGAGAAUCUCAGAGUAAUCAGUCUUAGCUAUUUGCCAGUGAAGAGAUAGUCAUAUAUUCAUUAUUUUAAUAUGAUAUAAAAUUAUGAAGUAAAAUUAUAUGAUACUGAGGCAAAUGGGGCAUAACCUAUGUACAUUAGUAAAAUCUAUUUGAAAUAUAUAUGCUGUGAGAAUUUCCAUAUGGAAGUGUGCCACUAAGGACAUAACUCUUACAUCGUUCGAAGUUCAAAUAGGAAGAAAACAUCCUGACAGCUCGCUUUUUAUUUAACUCUUUUACUAUGAAAAUGCAAUUUCAUAUCCUUCUCAUAUUUCAGCUGUUCUAAAACGAAAGGAGAAAUGGAAAAAUUAUUGAAGAGAAUCCUCUCAGAAUCUACAAGUUAAGCUUAAAUAUAAUUGGCACUCAUAAACUAGCAUCUUAUUUUUUACCUGGAUUUUGUUAAUUGGAAAUUUGAAAGGAUUUUAAUGGCGUCUAGAUUUAUUUAUGCAGAUUAUCUCAAUCCAUUUCAUGCAUAUGAUGAGGGAAACCUUUCUUGGCUGGUAAUUGGUGAAUGAUUCUUCUCCUGUAAACUUAAUUUAUCUGCUUUGAUAUACUCCUGUCUAUCUCAAAUCAGUCAACAGCUUCUUUUAUUCUUCUCUUUUUUCGAUUGAUAAUGCCUAAUGGGAUUGGGGUCAAGAAGGUCAAGAAUAUCAUUAUUUUACUUGUACUUUUGUAAUACUUCAGAGUCACUGAUGCAGUACCGAUAGGAUGAUUAAUAGAAAUAGAAGAAAGAUUCAGAAAGAAUGAGGAAUUAAUGGAGGGGAUAGAAGAAGAAUUCAAUAGAAGAAGGGGAGGGAUGCGCCAUAAGCCACCAAAAUAAUUAUUCAUUCAUCAUCAACUGAAAGUUACAAUGCAAAAUAGGUUUAAAUAGUAAAGCAACCCUAACGAGUUUGGGCUCGAGUCCAUACAAGUCCAAAUUUAAAUAAUAGUCCAAGAAAAUAAAUAAAGCUUAAAUAAAAUAAGUAAACGUCGUCCGAUGUCCUCAUCAACUCUGUUGGGGUGGGAGAAAAACUCGACCCUAUCGAGUUGAUAGAUAUUAUAGGCUGCAAUCAAUCUAAUACUCCAAAUGCUUCAAGUCAAGCCACUGGGGACAAUCUUAAUGACGAACCAAGUAACGAAAUUCCAUAAUUGAUAGUACUGAAAACUGUAGCUUAUUCCCAAGAAUAUGAUCUGACCAAGGGGGCCGAUCUUUCCUUCUAACCAAGUACUGAUACUGGACUUCAAAUAACCAAUACUCAUGCACAACAUUUUCACAUGAUUGUACAUAAUGAGGAGUAUAAGAAGUACGUCGAUCUACCCAACAAACAAGAAAGUACUGAAUUUUGCCAUCAUUGGUCAAUACAACACGUUCAUCUAAAAUAACAUCAAUUUUAUCUUUGUGUGCUGUGAUAGAUGAUAUUAAAGUAGAAAUAUCUAUAUAGUCAAAUUGGGGGUCCACAAAGUUAGGUAGAAAUGGAUCAUCAAAGGAAGUAAUACGGUAUUUGUAAGUAAUGAAGUCCUCAAUAUUUAAAGCAGAGUGGUAGCUAAAAUGUGAUGAAAGGGCAAUGACAUGUGCAUUUGAACCAACAUGCUUUAAAAUUUUUAAAGGACCAGCACUACAAGCUUGCAAUAAGACAUAAUCCCCAAUAUUAAAUUCAAAAUAUCGUUUAUGCAAAUCAGCUUGAAGUUUAUAUAAUGCAUUACUUGUGUCAUGUUGUUUAUUGAUCUCAAUAUGCAAGUCAUGAAGAUGAUAUACAAAUGCUUCAGCUGACAACAACACACUAGCAUGCGGGGACAUGAGAAUAAGAUCUAACGGUCGCCUAGACUUAUAAUUAUGAACAACUUCAAAUGGAUUUAGACCUAGAGACCGAUUCAUAGAAUUGUUAGAUGCGAUGUGAACAGUUGGGGGGAUCGAGUCCCAAUUCUCAAGAUUUUUCUGGACUAGAGACUGUAAUAAAUUGCCAAGACUUCGGUUAGCAAUUUCGUUUUGACCAUUAGUUUGAGGUUGGUCAAUAGUGGAGAAUUUCGAUUUAGUACUAAGAACAAGCGACUGGAUUUUCCAAGGGUGACUAGUGAAAUCAUCAAACUCUUUGAGUGGGGUAAGGGUAUGACAUAUAACAUGUAAUCGAGAGUUGUCGGAAACAAGGGGUAUAGUUUCUAAAGUCUCGGGAAGGGUCGGGAUUCUACUUAAGGAAGUGUCCUCACUAUAAUCAUCAAAAUCUUCAAGUUUAGGGCCAUACGCUAGAUCUUCUAACGACUCUUCUAUUGCAUUCUUUUGUUCUUCUAUGACUAAGGCUCGGUUAGGACAUUUGGAAGAGAUGUGGCCAAAAUCCUUACAGCUGAUGCAUAGCAAGUGAGAAGUCUUUGGAGUUUCACAAAUUAUACCCUUAUUUUCCAAAAUUGGAGGAACAUUAGAUGGGGGAGGUCCUAGAAGGGACUUAACAGGAGGAAGUGGAGCCAUAUUAGACGGGGGAGGUCCUAGAAGGGACUUAACAGGAGGAAAUGGAGCCAGUGAAACCGAAAGAUGAUUGCCAUUACGCUUUCUACAUGAAGAAGAAGAUCUUGGACUAUCACGACCUUUACAAUUAUUUUUCCAAAUAGGAGGAACAUUAGACGGAGAAGGUUUUAUGAUAGACUUAUGAUGAGGCGACGCUAAUGAGAUGGAUGAACGACGAUGACCACGCUUUUCAUAUGGAGUACUAAUAAUCAACUCAUAAUCUUGAGUUAAAGAGUAAGCAUGAUCAAGAGUAGUGACACCUCGAAGGAAAAGCUCGCGCUUAAGAUCAUCUCUCAGACCUUGGCUAAACCUACUCAAAGUCAUACUUUCAUCCUUAAUUAAAUGACAUUUGGUUUGAAAUUCCUCAAAUUGCGCGAUAUACUCACUCACUAAUUGAUUUUCUUGUUUAAGGGCAUUCCAUUGAGUAAGAAUUUCAAAAUUAUCUCGUUCUCGCUUACGAAUCUGAUCCUUAUUCCUACGAUCGCGUCGAAAAUAUUUUUGAUCACUUUGUCCACGAUGAUAUUGUCUACUAUGAGACGCUUCAGAAUUAGUGUCAGUUAAACGAGAGGUUCGCUUAAAAUUGCUUAACUUAGCAACUAGGUUCUUUCUCUCCUCACGAGUAGCAGUUAUAUCUGAUUGGACAGUCGAUAGGCUAGUGGCAAGUUGCGCUAAUUGUCUAGUGAGUGCAUCAAAUUGGGAUGGAUCCAUGGUCAAUGUAUUGGAAAUAGAGAUGACAAGACGACCGCUAUGCAACUACAUGCAAUAUAAUACUAGCUAAAUGACGUGUUAUGAUGAGAUCAGUGAACAAUACGUGCAAGUAAUGGAAAAUAACUUGUACCAUUUUUUUUAAUUUAAUUUUAAAUAUUGGGAUUAAUUAAAUCCAAAACAAGCUAAUACUGCUAGUACAUGUAAAAUGGUAAAACAAGGGUCAACAUUAGUCAAAUUCUCCAAUCAAUUUAAGUGGGGAACAAUGGAAGUCAUUUCGGUUACUAGUGUUAAUUCGAUUAAUGGUUUUGAUCAAGUGAGAUUUAAGGCUAAAAUUAUCAUAAUAACAGCGGCAUAAGAUUUUAAUUGAUGCAAUUUUAAAAAUGAAGCAGUAGUAUAAACCAAUACUAAAUAGAGAUCAAGGACUCCCUGUUGUUUAGUUUUGAUUAUUUGUAUGCCGCUUGACCUGAAUUGCCGACUUAUAAGCCUCAACUAUACUUCUGUUCUUCCAUUCGUGUCCAAUGGUUUUAACCUCUGCUGACUGUAACUUGUGCUGGCUCUGGUGUGGACGUAAAAUUGAGUGUGGUGAUUGUGACUUUUAGAUUGUUGAGAUGGACGAGGAAAUAUAUGAGUGUGGUAACUGUGGUGGAAGUGUAUGAUCUUUGGUUGGUGGUGGUGGUCUAUGGCAAUGAAGCGGCAGUGCUCUAGAUGCCUGGGUAUAAUAGAUAAUGAAGUAGUAGCGUGAUGGUGAUUAAAGGCGAUGACAGCAAGAGAGUGGUUGUGAGAGAGGAAUCGAGUGAAACUGUGGGGUAUUUGAUGUUAAUGGAUUGGUUAUAAUCGGGUUUGGUCGGAUAUUUGGGACUAGGCCAGAUGGGAAGGGGUUUGGAUCCUGUUAUAGAGAUGGGCCAGCUGGGGUUAGUGUUUGGAGAGUGGGCCUGGGUCGUAAAGAGUAGGCUGGGUUAGUUGGGCUAAAUUGGCUUGAAUGUUAGGGUUUGGGAUUUGUGGAACAACACCACAAUUUUUAUUUUUUUUUUUUAGCAGCAGCAAAAAAAAAAAAAAAAAAAACGAGAAAUAUAUAUUUUUUUUUUGGGCGUGAACAGUAACUUUUUUUUUAUAAGAAACUGACCAAAAUACUAAAUUGAAAUUCUGUGUGAACAGUACCCGAGAUGAACAGUACUUUUUUUUUUUUCAACUAAGACUCAAAAUUGAAGAAGAAGAAAAAAACUGCUGCCUUUACCAAAAAAUUUUUUAGUUCGUGCUGUUCCAACAGAUUUUGGGAAGGAAAUAUGAAUAAAUUUUGGAUUAAAGAAAAGAGAUUACCCAUGAUUCGGCUCUGAUACCAAAUUUGAUGCAGCACCAAUAGGAUGAUUAAUAGAAAUAGAAGAAAGAUUCAGAAGGAAUGAGAAAUUAAUGGAGGGGAUAGAAGAAGAAUUCAAUAGAAAAAGGGGAGGGAUGCGCCAUAAGCCACCAAAAUAAUUAUUUAUUCAUCAUCAACUGAAAGUUACAAUGCAAAAUAGGUUUAAAUAGUAAAGCAACCCUAACGAGUUUGGGCCCGAGCCCAUACAAGUCCAAAUUUAAAUAAUAGUCCAAGAAAAUAAUUAAAGUUUAAAUAAAAUAAGUAAACGUCGUCCGAUGUCCUCAUCAAUCACAAAGCAACUUUUGUUGUUAUCUAUGGUUUUCUUUAGAAAAAAAUGCUUGACCUCUUGUAAUUGACUUCUGGAGAAAAUCAAGAAUAUAAACAAGAUUUAUUUUAGUAAUAAUUUUAAGAAGUUAUUCUGUUUUAAAAUGAUGUAUCUGCAACAGGCUGCAGCAGAAGCAGAACCUGCAACUAUGUCAAUGGUGAGACGAGCGAUACCUUAUGCUUCUUCGCUUGAUGAAGCAAAUCAAAUAGUCCGUGGAAAUUGGCUUCAGGCUAUCGAAAGUCAUCAUCAGAAACAUUCAGGAAACUCCUCAAUUAGUGACAUUAUUGACAUUGGAUGCUCUGUUGGAGUGAGCACAAACUUUCUUGCUGACAAAUUUCCAUCUGCCAAAAUUACUGUAAGUAUGAAUUAUGUGUAUACCAUUUCAAGCAUGCCACAAUUUCUGUAGAUAUUGGACUGCUGGCAACAAUAAGGAUUAACGUAAUGGGCAAACUCAAUGAAUUGUAGUUCUCGUAUUAGACAUGAUUUCAUUGUUGGUGCUUUACCCAGAUUUCUGUGUGAUGUCCAUCCUGGGUCAUACUUAUUGGUCUUUGGUCUGCAUCUUCUGCAGGGACUGGAUUUAUCACCUUACUUUCUUGCUGUUGCUCAAUUUAAGGAAAAGAGAAGCAACCAGAGAAAAGAUCCAAUCAGGUGGAUACAUGGAAAUGGUGAAAACACAGGCUUGCCUUCAAAAUCUUUUGACCUUGUCUCAGUUGCUUAUGUGGUAUGUUGUGUUUUCUUGAAAACUUAAAAACUAAAUUACAUUUGUAAUUAGCUUUCAAGAGAAACUAAAUGCAGAUAUGACUAAUACAAGAACCCCCCCCCCCCCCCCCCAAAAAAAAAAAAAUUGUAUUAUUAUUUUUAUAUGAAACACAUCAAUUUUUCUUUUGUUGAGUGAUGAUGGGAUUGAAAGGAUAUGAACAUAGAAAAGAUAUGAAAUAAGAGAUGAUUUAAUUUUCUAUUAUUGAAACGUAAUCCUGCUUAUAGUUUUUUUGCCCAAUCCAUGCUAACUUUGGAUAGAAAAUUCUUCCUAUGGCAAUUCGUUGAAAAUCAUAUUCUCACGUCCACUAACAUGGCUAUUUCCUUGAAUAAAUUCAGGAAAUGAGUAUAGUGCAGAGAAUCUUAUUACACUAGUAAGGGAAGAUUUACAUCAAUAUAAAUCUUGUGAUAUUCAUGUUUUGACUUUUACUAUUGGCGCUUCGGUAAUUGGCUAAUUUGGAAGCUAGAAUAUCUCGUACAGUAAGAAAAUAUGCCAUACUAAAAGUUUCUCCUUGGUCAGAGUAUGAACUCCAUCUGAAGAAUAACGGAAAGGAAACUUCCCUAUCAGGAUAUGGUCAAGCUUUCCAUAUUAUUUUGAUGGACUUGUGGAAAAAAGAUAUUUUGCGUGCAUGUUAUCAUUUACAUGGUUUGAUCCGUCUCAAAACAAAAGAAGUGGAUAAAUUGCUAUAAUUGAGUUAAAAAAAAGAAGAAGAAAAAAAGAAAAAACAACUUGUAAAAGUAGUUAUAGUACUUGUCUUUCCUUGAGUGGUAAAGGUAGGACGUCAACCUUAUAUGUUAACACAAGGGGUUGAAGUCUAAAAUAGGGAAGAAAACAGGCUCUACUUAUAAUUUUUUCCAACUCCAUGUAUUUAUUGCUAGUGGUUGGCUAUGAGAUCUUAUGGAACAACGUUCGUAGCUUGAUUCUUGGCAGCUUUUGGAGACCUUUUUUAAAGCAUGUAUUCCUUUCCCUGACUCUGUUGUGCUGUUGCAGUUUCACGAGUGCCCUGAAAGAGCAAUUAAAAAUAUAGUGAAGGAAGCAUUUCGGCUUCUUCGACCUGGAGGCACUUUUGCUGUGACUGAUAACUCGGUAAAUAGCUUUAGAAUAUUGCAAAUAGUGUUCAUCUUUUAUGUAAUGUAAUAAUAUAUCAUACCAGACCAUUUCUUACAUUACUUUCCUUUUGUUCUCUUUUGCAGCCAAAAUCAAAGAUUCUUCAGGUAUGUUUUGUUUGUUGCUUUGUCAAGUUUUCUUUUGGCUUUUCUUCAUCAUGUGAUCAAGCUUUCCAUUAUCACUCAUGAUGAAAACAUCUGGAUCUCGCUUUUCUAAAUUCUUAGACCAAAAGAGAACAAUGGUCGGAAGAUGGUGACAUUUUGGAAACAUUNUAAUGAGCUUG